GUUUAAAAACCGCAACGUUUCUGCGAUCUCCGGUAACGUCGAACUCGCCCGUUUUCGGAUUUUGCAUUCGCCUAAAAUUAUAAACCGAUCAAUAAUAUUAUGAAUACCGUCCAACGGGAUAUUAAGUAUUAUCUCCGAUAGCGGCAAGGUGAGUGCACGCGGGUGUACGUUAUGCUCAAUCGUAUUUGAUUAUUUGUCGCUUCGGCGUGCAGGCCGAGUAAUUUGCUCAACCG